rnacentral:rRNA from 1 species
AUUGAACGCUAGCUACAGGCUUAACACAUGCAAGUCGAGGGAACGGCGCACGGGUGAGUAACACGUAUCCAACCUGCCCUUUACUCGGGGAUAGCCUGUCGCAAGAAAGAUUAAUACCCGAUAUAAAGGAUGGAGAUGCGUUCCAUUAGGUUGUUGGUGAGGUAACGGCCCACCAAGCCUUCGAUGGAUCGGGGUUCUGAGAGGAAGGUCCCCCACAUUGGAACUGAGACACGGUCCAAACUGCUACGGGAGGCAGCAGUGAGGAAUAUUGGGCAAUGGGCGUUAGCCUGAACCAGCCAAGUAGCGGGAAGGAUGAAGGCUUAUGGGUCGUAAACUUCUUGUAUAUAAGAAUAUGUAUUAUAUGAAUAAGGAUCGGCUAACUCCGUGCCAGCAGCCGCGGUAAUUC